rnacentral:rRNA from 1 species
GACGGGGCCCGCACAAGCGGUGAGCAUGUGGUUUAAUUCGACGCAACGCGAAGAACCUUACCAGGGCUUGACAUCCCCUGACCGCGUAUGAAAGUACGUUUUCACCCUCGGGUGACAGGGAGACAGGUGGUGCAUGGUUGUCAUCAGCUCGUGUCGUGAGAUGUUGGGUUAAGUCCCGCAACGAGCGCAACCCUCGCCUCUAGUUGCCAGCAUUCGGUUGGGCACUCUAGAGGGACUGCCGGCGACAAGUCGGAGGAAGUGGGAUGACGUCAAAUCAUCAUGCCCCUUAUGACCUGGGCUACACACGUGCUACAAUGGGCGGUACAAAGGGCUGCGAACCCGCGAGGGGGAGCGAAUCCCAAAAAGCCGCUCUCAGUUCGGAUUGCAGGCUGCAACUCGCCUGCAUGAAGCCGGAAUCGCUAGUAAUCGCGGAUCAGCAUGCCGCGGUGAAUACGUUCCCGGGCCUU